AACGAACGCUGGCGGCAGGCUUAACACAUGCAAGUCGAGCGCCCCGCAAGGGGAGCGGCAGACGGGUGAGUAACGCGUGGGAAUCUACCCAUCUCUACGGAAUAACGCAUGGAAACGUGUGCUAAUACCGUAUACGUCCUUCGGGAGAAAGAUUUAUCGGAGAUGGAUGAGCCCGCGUUGGAUUAGCUAGUUGGUGGGGUAAAGGCCUACCAAGGCGACGAUCCAUAGCUGGUCCGAGAGGAUGAUCAGCCACACUGGGACUGAGACACGGCCCAGACUCCUACGGGAGGCAGCAGUGGGGAAUAUUGGAUAAUGGGCGCAAGCCUGAUCCAGCCAUGUCGCGUGAGUGAUGAAGGCCCUAGGGUUGUAAAGCUCUUUCACCGGUGAAGAUAAUGACGGUAACCGGAGAAGAAGCCCCGGCUAACUUCGUGCCAGCCGCCGCCGCAAGAC
rnacentral:rRNA from 1 species